GAUGAACGCUGGCGGCGUGCCUAAUACAUGCAAGUCGAGCGAAUGGAUUAAGAGCUUGCUCUUAUGAAGUUAGCGGCGGACGGGUGAGUAACACGUGGGUAACCUGCCCAUAAGACUGGGAUAACUCCGGGAAACCGGGGCUAAUACCGGAUAACAUUUUGAACCGCAUGGUUCGAAAUUGAAAGGCGGCUUCGGCUGUCACUUAUGGAUGGACCCGCGUCGCAUUAGCUAGUUGGUGAGGGAACGGCUCACCAAGGCAACGAUGCGUAGCCGACCUGAGAGGGUGAGCGGCCACACUGGGACUGAGACACGGCCCAGACUCCUACGGGAGGCAGCAGUAGGGAAUCUUCCGCAAUGGACGAAAGUCUGACGGAGCAACGCCGCGUGAGUGAUGAAGGCUUUCGGGUCGUAAAACUCUGUUGUUAGGGAAGAACAAGUGCUGGUUGAAUAAGCUGACACCUUGACGGUACCUAACCAGAAAGCCACGGCUAACUACGUGCCAGCAGCCGCCGUAA
rnacentral:rRNA from 1 species